UGCUCUGGAGGAAAGUGGCGCACGGGUGAGUAACGCGUAGGCAACCUACCCCUAGAUUGGGAAUAACCUCGGGAAACCGAAGCUAAUACCGAAUAACAUCUUAGAGUCGCAUGACUCAGAGAUCAAAACUCCGGUGUCUAGGGAUGGGCCUGCGUAGGAUUAGGUAGUUGGUGAGGUAAAAGAUAAACAAGCCGACGAUCCUUAGCUGGUCUGAGAGGAUGAUCAGCCACACUGGCACUGAGAAAAGGGACAGACUCC
rnacentral:rRNA from 1 species